GCAUUGGUGGUUCAGUGGUAGAAUUCUCACCUUCCAUGUGGGAAACCUGGGAUCAAUUCUAGGCCAAUGUC
rnacentral:tRNA from 1 species